AGCCGCUCGGUGAACACAGAGCAAACUAUACUUUCGCCUUUUACUAAAGAAUACCAUGUGUUCGCUGUAAACAGCGGCAUAUGCCAAUUUUUGAAGGAUUUCUCUCUGAGGAAAUC